rnacentral:rRNA from 1 species
UACAGAGACUGCGAGCGUUAUUCGGAUUCACUGGGCGUAAAGGGUGCGCAGGCGGCCGUGUGUGUGAGGCGUGAAAGCCCGGGGCUUAACCGAGGAACUGCCCUCCAAACUGCUUAGCUUGAGACCGGGAGAGGUGAGUGGAAUUCCCAGUGUAGCGGUGAAAUGCGUAGAGAUGUGGAGGAACACCGAUGGCGAAGGCAGCCCCCUGGGCCAAUACUGACGCUCAUGCACGAAAGCGUGGGGAGCAAACAGG